UACGUAGGAUCCAAGCGUUGUCCGGAUUUACUGGGUGUAAAGGGUGCGCAGGCGGACUGGUAAGUCAGGAGUGAAAUCUCGGCGCUUAACGCCGAAACGUCUUUUGAUACUGUCAGUCUUGAAUUAGCGAGAGAUUCGUGGAAUUCCGAGUGUAGCAGUGAAAUGUGUAGAUAUGCGGAGGAACACCGAUGGCGAAGGCAAUCCCCUGGGCCUGCACUGACGCUCAUGCACGAAAGCGUGGGAGC
rnacentral:rRNA from 1 species